UCAUACAACGGGGGAGGUGCUUGGGCUGUAGCUGACCUUUCAAUGGGUCGUGCACGCCUGAGCACACUCUCACACAUCCAUCUCACCCCUCUGUGCAUCACCAUGUGGGUCUUCCUUUGCAGGAGGGCUCGCUUUUCACACAAAAACUUGAUACAGUGUAGAAUGUUACCUUUUGCGGUCACACGCAAUCAAUA
rnacentral:misc_RNA from 1 species